GAUGAACGCUAGCGGCAGGCCUAAUACAUGCAAGUCGGACGGGAUUCAGGAGCUUGCUUCUGAUGAGAGUGGCGCACGGGUGCGUAACACGUAUGUAACCUACCUUUAUCAGGGGGAUAGCCUCUCGAAAGAGAGAUUAAGCCCGCAUAAAAUCACAGCACAGCAUUGUGUAAUGAUCAAAUAUUUAUAGGAUAAAGAUGGGCAUGCGGAACAUUAGCUAGAUGGCGGGGUAACGGCCCACCAUGGCGACGAUGUUUAGGGGAUCUGAGAGGAUGGCCCCCCACACUGGUACUGAGACACGGACCAGACUCCUACGGGAGGCAGCAGUAAGGAAUAUUGGUCAAUGGGCGGAAGCCUGAACCAGCCAUGCCGCGUGCAGGAAGACGGCCCUACGGGUUGUAAACGGCUUUUAUACGGGAAUAAACCCAGAUACGUGUAUCUGGCUGAAUGUACUGUAAGAAUAAGGAUCGGCUAACUCCGUG
rnacentral:rRNA from 1 species